GACGGUACUUGAUGAAUAAGCCACGGCUAAUUCCGUGCCAGCAGCCGCGGUAAUACGGGAGUGGCAAGCGUUAUCCGGAAUUAUUGGGCGUAAAGCGUCCGCAGGCGGCCCUUCAAGUCUGCUGUUAAAAAGUGGAGCUUAACUCCAUCCAUGGCAGUGGAAACUGUUGGGCUUGUGUGUGGUAGGGGCAGAGGGAAUUCCCGGUGUAGCGGUGAAAUGCGUAGAUAUCGGGAAGAACACCAGUGGCGAAGGCGCUCUGCUGGGCCAUCACUGACGCUCAUGGACGAAAGCCAGGGGAGCGAAAGGGAUUAGAUACCCCUGUAGUCCUGGCCGUAAACGAUGAACACUAGGUGUCGGGGGAAUCGACCCCCUCGGUGUCGUAGCCAACGCGUUAAGUGUUCCGCCUGGGGAGUACGCACGCAAGUGUGAAACUCAAAGGAAUUGACGGGGGCCCGCACAAGCGGUGGAGUAUGUGGUUUAAUUCGAUGCAACGCGAAGAACCUUACCAGGGUUUGACAUCCUGCGAAUCUCUUGGAAACGAGAGAGUGCCUUCGGGAGCGCAGUGACAGGUGGUGCAUGGCUGUCGUCAGCUCGUGUCGUGAGAUGUUGGGUUAAGUCCCGCAACGAGCGCAACCCACGUCUUUAGUUGCCAGCAUUUAGUUGGGCACUCUAGAGAGACCGCCGGUGAUAAACCGGAGGAAGGUGUGGAUGACGUCAAGUCAUCAUGCCCCUUACAUCCUGGGCUACACACGUACUACAAUGCUACGGACAAAGGGCAGCAAGUUCGCGAGGACAAGCAAAUCCCAUAAACCGUGGCUCAGUUCAGAUCGUAGGCUGCAACUCGCCUACGUGAAGGAGGAAUCGCUAGUAAUCGCAGGUCAGCAUACUGCGGUGAAUACGUUCCCGGGCCUUGUACACACCGCCCGUCACACCAUGGAAGUUGGCCACGCCCGAAGCCGUUACUCCAACCCUCGGGAGGAGGACGUCGAAGGUGGGGCUGAUGACUGGGGUG
rnacentral:rRNA from 1 species